UACAGAGGGUGCGAGCGUUUAAUCGGAAUUACUGGGCGUAAAGCGCGCGUAGGCGGCUUUGCAAGUCGGGUGUGAAAUCCCCAGGCUCAACCUGGGAACUGCAUUCGAGACUGCAUUGCUAGAGUAUGGGAGAGGGAAGUGGAAUUUCCGGUGUAGCGGUGAAAUGCGUAGAUAUCGGGAGGAACACCAGUGGCGAAGGCGACUUCCUGGCCUGUUCUUGACGCUGAGGCGCGAAAGCUAGGGUAGCAAACGGG
rnacentral:rRNA from 1 species